AACACUCACUCAGCACACAAGCUGCUACACACCAGAGCUCCAUUAAGCAGGAUCUUCAUGCAAGCCAGCAUGGUCAACCCAUAAGGGAUAUUCAAAACAUUGGAGACACCCACGGAGGAACACCCACGUGGAAGGAACUGGAGGUUUGGGGAACAAGUGCUUGAAACCUGAUAAAACUGGCUUGUCCUUGACAUUUUAGAGUGACAACUCAAGUGGAAAAGACAGAUUUCUACCUUCAGGACUGGGGAUGGAGUACAAAUUACGUAAGCCCCACCCUCUGUCCCUCAGGAAAUAUUUUCACAUUUCCCUGCACUGGGAAGACAACCAAAUAGACUUCACAAGUCUGGUUCUUCCCACUUUCUAGCAGUGUGAAUUUAUUUAUUAGGUAUCUUCUCUGAAUCUUGGUUUUCUGAUCUAUAAAAUGGAAACACCUCUCUGUCACUCUCAUGGAGUCAUCAUUUUCAGCAUCAGCCAGUGGCUAGACCCGAGAGCUGGAGUUGCUCAUUUGGCAGCAGCAAGAAGUCCUUAGCCCAAAUUGGCUCACUAUCUACUCAAAGCGUGGCCAGAGCCGGGGAUUCAGGAAGGCAUGAAUGGGAGUGGAGGGAAGGAUUCUGUCAAGUGGUAGAAUAAGCAGCAGUGUAGGAUGAUCAGAUGUAGUACUGAGCCUCUGAUUGUUCAUUCUGGGAAUGGAGAAAUGUCAGCAGCAACAAGGAUCGGGGAUGAAGAAGACUGAGUCUGCACUCGAACCCUUGACUUACGCUAAUUUGUCAGAACAGGUUUGGGGCACUUAGAGGCAUCACAAGGGAGUUUCCUAUAUUCAGGCUUUUUUCCUGUUCCAGACUAAAUACCAAGUGAGUUACUUUGCAACAAGGAUGGCUCAGGGCAACAAAAAGUGAGUCAGUGCUCCUUAUCCCAGCAUUGGCAAUGCUAAUUACAUAACUACCACAGAAAUAACCACUACCAAAAAUACAGACACGUACUGGAUUGAAGAAACUUACCCUGCUCCAACCAAGAGGACAAAGCCUCCCUGAAGCCCUUACCUGGCUAAGCAUUCAACAGUGCAACAAACUGAGAAGUCACCCUGUCUGAUGGCCAAAGGAUAUGAAUCAGCUUUGACAAGCAAUGUGAUCUUAGAAGAAAGAGAAUACCCAUAGAUCCAGCACCCAGCUGAAGAAAUAAAACAUGACCUGUGCAGCUGAAGCCCCUGCAUAAUUCUUCCCCAUUGCAUUCUCCUCCCGUGUUCCCUAACCCCAGCCCCACCACAGGUAACCACUAUUCUAAACUCCUUGUUAGAUCUUUAUAUUUGGACAACAUAUGUAUAAAUUUAUAAGCAACAUGUAGGACUAUUAUGUAUGUUUUUAGCAUUGUAUACAUUCUAUCACAUUGUAUGUAUUCUUUUAUUUGCUUAGCAUUGUGUAUCUUUUUUAAGUAGACUAUUUUAUUUACCAUUUUAACCAUUUUAAAGUGGAUAGUUCAGCGGUGUUGAGCACAUUUACAAUGUUCACAUCCACCACCAUCUACUUCAGAAAGCAUUGUGCUCUGAUACAAAUAUUUGCAAUUGAAAUUGCCGAUAUCUGACUGUUUCUGUCCUACAAGAAUGGCAAUUUCAUAUAGUUCAUUUUGUUUCACAGUUUGGUAGUAUUCCUUUAUGUGACUACAAUUUAUCUAACCCCUUACUGACAGAUACUUAGAUUUCUUCUGUUUGGGGUUUUUUGGUUGUUGUUUUUUUUUUCUCUCUUACAAACAAUGCUGCUCUGAAAAUUCUCCGUAUUUCCUUGUGCAUGUCCAGGAGUUUCUUUUGAACCAUAGACCCAGAAAUGCAAUUGCUGGAUCAUACUGUGUGCACAUCUUCAACAUUUAUAGAUACUGACAAAUUGUUCUUUUAAGUGAUGUGUCAAUUUACAUUUCUCCAAGCAGCAUAAUAGACUUUCUUUUGCUCCAU